AUGGGGAAGGGGCGGCCGGGCCCCCGCGCGAGGUGUCGCGGGGCCGAGCGGGGCGCGGCGGGGCGGGGCGGGGCGGGGCGGGGCGCGGCGCGGCGGGGCGGGGCGCGGCGGCGAGCGGCAGCGGGCGCCGGGCAGGGGGCUCGGGCUCCAGUUCGAGGGGCGGGGAAGGCGGGUGACGUGAGCCGGGCCGGGCGGGCGGAGUUGGGACCCGCUGGGGAGGCGGGGGCGAGCGCGCCGAGAGGCAGACGCGCGGAGGGAGGCGGCCGAGCGGGCGGGCGGCUCUGCGGCGGGCGCGGUGGGCGCGGGCGGCGGGGCCCCGGGAUCCCCGCGCGCCUCCUCGGCGCCGCGCCGCCGCCGCGCGUCCCCACGCCCCGCGCCGCACGGCGCCCUCGCCCCGCGCGCCCCCCGCGCCCGCCUCCUGCCGGCCCCGGCGCCGCGGCCGUCUGCAAGGAGCGCUCAGACGGAGCCCCCGGACAACCCGAGCGGCGCCGGCCGGCGGCGCAGCCCCGCGAGAGCCCCCUGACCUGGCUGCGCGCGGGGGCCCCCCGCGUCCCGCCGCGUCGCCGCCGCCCGCUCCCCCGGGCCGCGCCGCCCCCUCGGCGCGGGGCUCGGACCGCAGGCGGGAGACACGCACGGUGCGCGGCGGCGCCGCCCGGCCUCCCUCCCCGCCGCCCCGGAGGCCGACGCCGCGUCUCCGCCGCCUCUCCCCGCGCGGCCGCAGCGCCGGAGCGCGCCCCGCCCGGGCCGGCCGUGGGCGCCCCCGCCUCGCUGCCGCCUUCGCCCGCUCGCCCCCGGAGGGGCGGCGAGCCCCGCGCCCCGGCUGGAGGAUGUGCGCCCCCGCGGGCCGCCCCGCCUGAGCCAUGCGCCCCAACGGCGGCGGCGCGCCGGCCGGCAUGGAGCCCCGCGCGGCCGCGCUCUGACUCGCUCUGCGCCCCGCGGCCGGCGGGCGGCGGGCGGCGGGCGGCGGGCGGCGGGCGGCGGCGGACGGAGAGCCGGAGACCGGCGCCGCGGGACGGAAGCGAGCGGGCGCGGGCGCGGGCGCCGCGCAGAUGGCCGGGGCGAGCAAGGUCUGAGGCUCCGCUCCCCGAAACGUGA
rnacentral:lncRNA from 1 species